UAUUUAUCCUCUAAGCUUCUCCAAAUGCCCAGAAUCCUGCAGGAUGGAAUACAGAGAGAAGAAAAAAGAUGAGCUAUUUGCUUCUUCAUGGUCAUCUUCUGGGAAUGGAAAGAGAACCUGCACCUCACCUGACCAAACAGAAGUGCCCUCUAUGACUCAAGCGUUGACAUCUUCCCAACAAAAACUUCACAAUCAGUUCAUACAGCAGAAGACCUCCCCAGAAUAUCAAUACCUCACCUCAAAAAAUAGAAAAAUGCAACGUGUAUGAGGUCAAUGUAAAGCAGAGGGAAAUCACUCUGUUCAUGAAUAAAAUUACCUACAAUAAAAAAUGCCUUCA
rnacentral:lncRNA from 1 species